rnacentral:rRNA from 1 species
UACGGAGGGAGCUAGCGUUGUUCGGAAUUACUGGGCGUAAAGAGCGUGUAGGCUGUUAGGUAAGUCAGAGGUGAAAUCCCUAAGCUCAACUUAGGAACUGCCUUUGAUACUAUCUUACUAGAGAUCGAGAGAAGUUAGCGGAAUUCCAAGUGUAGAGGUGAAAUUCGUAGAUAUUUGGAAGAACACCAGUGGCGAAAGCGGCUAACUGGCUCGUAUCUGACGCUGAGACGCGAAAGCGUGGGUAGCAAACAGG